rnacentral:rRNA from 1 species
UAGGGAAUCUUCCGCAAUGGACGAAAGUCUGACGGAGCAACGCCGCGUGAGUGAUGAAGGUUUUCGGAUCGUAAAACUCUGUUGUUAGGGAAGAACAAGUACGAGAGUAACUGCUCGUACCUUGACGGUACCUAACCAGAAAGCCACGGCUAACUACGUGCCAGCAGCCGCGGUAAUACGUAGGUGGCAAGCGUUGUCCGGAAUUAUUGGGCGUAAAGCGCGCGCAGGCGGUCCUUUAAGUCUGAUGUGAAAGCCCACGGCUCAACCGUGGAGGGUCAUUGGAAACUGGGGGACUUGAGUGCAGAAGAGAAGAGUGGAAUUCCACGUGUAGCGGUGAAAUGCGUAGAGAUGUGGAGGAACACCAGUGGCGAAGGCGACUCUUUGGUCUGUAACUGACGCUGAGGCGCGAAAGCGUGGGGAGCAAACAGGAUUAGAUACCCUGGUAGUCCACGCCGUAAACGAUGAGUGCUAAGUGUUAGAGGGUUUCCGCCCUUUAGUGCUGCAGCAAACGCAUUAAGCACUCCGCCUGGGGAGUACGGCCGCAAGGCUG